GACAGAGGGUGCAAACGUUGUUCGGAAUUACUGGGCGUAAAGCGCGUGUAGGCGGCUUGGCAAGUCGGGUGUGAAAGCCCCGGGCUCAACCUGGGAAUGGCGAUGGAUACUGGCUCGCUAGAGUGCGGUAGAGGGUGGUGGAAUUCCCGGUGUAGCAGUGAAAUGUGUAGAGAUCGGGAGGAACACCGGUGGCGAAGGCGGGUCUCUGGGCAUCUCCUGACGCUGAGGCGCGAAAGCGUGGGGAGCAAACGGG
rnacentral:rRNA from 1 species